rnacentral:rRNA from 1 species
AGAUUGAACGCUGGCGGCAUGCCUAACACAUGCAAGUCGAACGGGAGUAGCAAUACUCUAGUGGCGGACGGGUGAGGAAUACGUAGGAAUUUGCCCUUAAGUGGGGGAUAACCCGGGGAAACCCGGAUUAAUACCGCAUGACCUCGAAAGAGCAAAGUGGGGGAUCGCAAGACCUCACGCUUUUGGAGAAGCCUACGUCGGAUUAGCUAGUUGGUGAGGUAAUGGCUCACCAAGGCGACGAUCCGUAACUGGUCUGAGAGGAUGAUCAGUCACACCGGACUGAGACACGGUCCGGACUCCGUACGGGAGGCAGCAGGUGGGGAAUAGUUGGACAAGUGGGG